rnacentral:rRNA from 1 species
AAUGAACGCUGGCGGCAGGCCUAACACAUGCAAGUCGAACGAAGUCUUCGGACUUAGUGGCGGACGGGUGAGUAACGCGUGGGAACGUGCCCUUUGCUACGGAAUAGCCCUGGGAAACUGGGAGUAAUACCGUAUGAGCCAGAGAGGGGAAAGAUUUAUCGGCAAAGGAUCGGCCCGCGUUGGAUUAGGUAGUUGGUGGGGUAAUGGCCUACCAAGCCUACGAUCCAUAGCUGGUUUUAGAGGAUGAUCAGCCACACUGGGACUGAGACACGGCCCAGACUCCUACGGGAGGCAGCAGUGGGGAAUCUUAGACAAUGGGCGCAAGCCUGAUCUAGCCAUGCCGCGUGAUCGAUGAAGGCCUUAGGGUUGUAAAGAUCUUUCAGGUGGGAAGAUAAUGACUGUACCACCAGAAGAAGCCCCGGCUAACUCCGUGCCAGCAGCCGCCGUAA